rnacentral:siRNA from 1 species
AUGGGCUUGCCCAUAUGGACAUGG